CGGGCAAGCUGGCUUACCGCUGCUUGGCGAAAAGCACAAGUAGAGGAAAGUCCGGGCAGCAUAGAGCAGCGUACUUCCUAACAGGAAGGCUCCUGCCUGAUGAGGGUAGGGGACAGACAGUGCCACAGAAAACAAACCGCCGAUGGCUCCUGCGCAAGCGGAGUACAGGCAAGGGUGAAAAGGUGGGGUAAGAGCCCACCGCUCCGGUGGUGACAUGCGGAGGCACGGUAAACCUUACGCGCUGAAAGACCAAAUAGGCUGGCAAGUACCUGUUCAUGAGAAGGUACUAAGGGUGGCUCGCCCGACGCCAGUGGGUAGGUCGUUGGAGCUUGGCAGCGAUGCCAAGCCUAGAUAAAUGGUAAGCGCCCUUCUUAUUAGAUGAAGGGAACAGAACCCGGCUUACAGGCUUGCCCGCUCC
rnacentral:RNase_P_RNA from 1 species